rnacentral:rRNA from 1 species
UACGUAGGGUGCGAGCGUUAAUCGGAAUUACUGGGCGUAAAGCGUGCGCAGGCGGUUUUGUAAGACAGGUGUGAAAUCCCCGGGCUUAACCUGGGAACUGCGCUUGUGACUGCAAGACUCGAGUACGGCAGAGGGGGGUAGAAUUCCGACGUGUAGCAGUGAAAUGCGUAGAGAUGUGGAGGAAUACCGAUGGCGAAGGCAGCCCCUGGGUCGAUACUGACGCUCAUGCACGAAAGCGUGGGGAGCGAACAGG